CAACUACUCCCUCUGUCCCAAAUUUCUUGUCUUAGAUUUGUCUAGAUACGGAUCUAUCUAAUACUAAAAUGUGACUUGAUACAUCCGUAUGUAGACAAAUCUAAGACAAGAAUUUUGGGACGGAGGGAGUACUUU
rnacentral:pre_miRNA from 1 species